rnacentral:rRNA from 1 species
AUUGAACGCUGGCGGCAUGCUUUACACAUGCAAGUCGAACGGCAGCGCGGGCUUCGGCCUGGCGGCGAGUGGCGAACGGGUGAGUAAUGCAUCGGAACGUGCCCAGUAGUGGGGGAUAGCCCGGCGAAAGCCGGAUUAAUACCGCAUACGACCUGAGGGUGAAAGCGGGGGACCGAAAGGCCUCGCGCUAUUGGAGCGGCCGAUGUCGGAUUAGCUAGUUGGUGGGGUAAAGGCUUACCAAGGCGACGAUCCGUAGCUGGUCUGAGAGGACGACCAGCCACACUGGAACUGAGACACGGCCCAGACUCCUACGGGAGGCAGCAGUGGGGAAUUUUGGACAAUGGGGGCAACCCUGAUCCAGCCAUGCCGCGUGCGGGAAGAAGGCCUUCGGGUUGUAAACCGCUUUUGUUCGGGAAGAAAUCCUCUGGGCUAAUACCCCGGGGGGAUGACGGUACCGGAAGAAUAAGCACCGGCUAACUACGU